GACGAACGCUGGCGGCGUGCUUAACACAUGCAAGUCGAACGAAGAGCGAUGGAAGCUUGCUUCUAUCAAUCUUAGUGGCGCACGGGUGAGUAACGCGUAAUCAACCUGCCCUUCAGAGGGGGACAACAGUGGGAAACGACUGCUAAUACCGCAUACGAUCUAAUCUCGGCAUCGAGGAUAGAUGAAAGGUGGCCUCUACAUGUAAGCUAUCACUGAAGGAGGGGAUUGCGUCUGCUUAGCUAGUUGGGGGGGUAACGGCCCACCAAGGCGAUGAUCAGUAGCCGGUCUGAUAGGAUGAGCGGCCACAUUGGGACUGUGACACGGCCCAGACUCCUACGGGAGGCAGCAGUGGGGAAUCUUCCGCAAUGGACGAGAGUCUGACGGGGCGACGCCGCGUGAGUGAUGACGGCCUUCGGGUUGUAAAGCUCUGUUAAUCGGGACGAAAGGCCUUCUUGCGAAUAGUGAGAAGGAUUGACGGUACCGGAAUAGAAAGCCACGGCUAACUACGUG
rnacentral:rRNA from 1 species